UACGAAGGGAGCUAGCGUUGUUCGGAAUUACUGGGCGUAAAGGGCGCGUAGGCGGCUUCGCUAGUUGGGCGUGAAAUGCCUGGGCUUAACCCAGGAAUUGCGCCCAAUACUUCGAGGCUCGAGUGUGGGAGAGGAUAGUGGAAUUCCUGGUGUAGCGGUGAAAUGCGCAGAUAUCAGGAGGAACACCGGUGGCGAAGGCGGAAUCUCUGGGCCAUUACUGACGCUGAGGAGCGAAAGCGUGGGGAGCGAACAGG
rnacentral:rRNA from 1 species